rnacentral:rRNA from 1 species
CCUCCUACGGGGGGCAGCAGUGGGGGAUAUUGCACAAUGGGGGAAACCCUGAUGCAGCGACGCCGCGUGUGGGAAGACGGUCCUCUGGAUUGUAAACCACUGUCCCCAGGGACGAAGAUGACGGUACCUGGGGAGGAAGCUCCGGCUAACUACGUGCCAGCAGCCGCGGUAAUACGGAGGAUGCGAGCGUUAUCCGGAUUUAUUGGGUUUAAAGGGUGCGCAGGCGGUCUGUUAAGUCAGCGGUCAAAGCCCGGGGCUCAACCCCGGCCCGCCGUUGAAACUGGCAGUCUCGAGUUGGAGAGAAG